GUUCAGAUUUCUUAGUAUUUUAGCUAUAACUAAGUCAUUGAUAAACGUAAGUUCUAUUUCACUUUAAACUGAUUAAAAAGCAAUGUAUCAUUAAAAAUCCUACUUGAUUAUGAAUGUGAUUUUAAACAAAUUGGUAUACAGCAUGAAAACAUGGGUUGAAACUUAAUUAUAUACUGGAAUAGAAUAUGUGAAUUCAGUCCAAUAAGUUGCAUAUUAUAUACUUAAUCCAUUCAAAAUCAAUCAACAUUUCUAAAAUGAGAAAUGACUAAGUUAUUCUCCUUGGCAAAACGAUGGUAAUUCAGCAAGCAAAGUGUAAUUUACAUAAGCUAUGCAUUUAAUGAAAAGAUUAACAAUCACGUUUUUUAUUUUUUUUUGUGCAUGGAGACAUGACAAACUUCAACAUCAACUUCACUGGAUAUUAGUAAUGAUAUCCAGAAUUUUUGCGCUUCUGAGAGCCUAUCAUUAUCGCUUUUAACUUCUGAAAACAUAAAUUUUUUUUUAGACGGAUUCCACAAACAUAAAUCAGGUAUCCCGCUAGAACUAUUUUUAUAAUCUUGGGUCAAAGCAAGAAAUAUUUGGGCGAGUCCAUUAUCGUUGAUACAAUCGACAAUUUCAAGAAGCAUUUCGCAAGUAUACGACCAAUUAAGACCUACACAAAAUGUUUUUCUUUGGUGCUCUCUGAUAUAAUUAUCUUUUAUAAUUAGGCCAGCUUUCCCAUUUCUUAUUUCCUCAAGUCUUUUCAUGAUUGUCGAUUCUCUAGAUAUAUAAAAGGAAUCAGUGUGCAAAUCCAAAGGUGCACUUUGAAACGGAGAUUGAAAAACACCAGGAACGUCCUCAAACAAAAUAUCCCAGAAUGUCAAAGCAAACAAAGUUAGCAAAAUGCUGCUUUCAGCAUGUAUACCUUCCCACCCAAUCGAUUGAUAAUGUUGAAGAGCAAGCUCUUCAACUGUGAUAGCAUUAUUAGUCUUGCUACGCCAAACAGUCCGGUUUGAAAGGUCACCGUUAUGUAUUCGUUCACCAUGAAGAAAAAGUCUUGAAGG